GGCCAUCGCUUUAAACGCCACACACGCAUCGGCACCGCCUUCGGGGUGCCCCGCCCUUCAGUGAACCGGGCGGGGUCGAAGCCGGGGAUGCGUGGAGGUCCCAAC
rnacentral:sRNA from 1 species